AUCUGGAACGCCGGUGCCGAUCGGCGUAGCGCCGAUUGGGUGCCGGUUUUCUGGUAUCGGCAGCCGAAAGCGUGGCGGGUUCUUGCCUUUCGGCCGCUUCUGUUCAAGGGUGUUUGUGGCGUUGUCCUGGGCUGUGCCGGCAGCCGUGCUCUCUACCCAUCCAGUCUAAGGGCCUGCCACUUCUUCCCAGCAUCUUGAAGGUUUUAAGUCUCGUAGCAGCUUCUCGUAUUUGCGCCGUCUCUGCGUGUUUGCGCCAGAGCUGCCGUCUCAUAAGGGGCCGUGACGUUCGGCUCUUUUUUUUUUCUGGGGUUGCAGUAGAGGCUCCUCGCCUCACCACUGCCUCCCCGCAGGUUAUUUUUACUGUUGCCGUCUCUGGUUCGGAGUCAUUUCUGUUGUGGAGCAUUUUUGGUGUUAUUGCUGUCGGGUCGUCUAUAAUGUUGUGUGGAGCAUCUGUCUAAGCACGUGCGCGUUUGGCUCGGAGCUGCUCUGCCCGGAGGUGUAGAGUCAGGAGCGGGCGGACUGAGUUUAGGAGUCCACGAUUGAUCUGUGGACAUGUUAUCCUGCGUAGGCAGAGGUUCUGCGGUCAUCUGGGACGGAGUAGCCGUGGGCAGGGGAGCGGACAGUCCCUUCCCCAGUGGUCUUUGGGACUCAAUUAGACCUUGUUGUGGGAUUCCUGAAUAGAAAGCAGACCUGUGGAACGGUCAAGCUGUUGAUGAGCUCCUGGGUAACUUGUUGAAUACCUUGAUUUCAGAUGCAGAGGGACAACUUGGCACGAAACAGCGACGGAGGAGGCGAGCCGAGCGCCGGAAGCAAGUGGGUCUGUGCGUGGUGGGAGCAGGAAGCUGUGCCGUGUGGCUCUAGCUGAGUUUGGUCGUUUCUCUCUUUUCUAGCCGUGAAGCAGAGUGGAAAGCUGGGUAUCGGCAGCGCAGCUCCUCUGGCAAGGCGUCACCAGCGCUGAGGGUUUGUGACCGCGCCCGCGGCACGACACGCCGACCGGACCGCCCUGGAACUCAGCAGGAGGCGCUGAAGCGGAACCCGGCGACGCGGGAAGACGGCCGUUGGCACACGUAGCGUUUUCCUCUGCCGAAGAUGGGUUCGGUCCCUCGGCCCUCUGAAAGCUAAGUGGAGGCGAGACUACUGGGAAGGGGCUGGGAAGGGGCUGGGAAUCGCAGGGACGGGGGGUUUAGCUCUGCUAAGGGCAAGGGCCGUCCAGGAACCGUGAAGGGCCCGGGGACCUUUACUGUGCGAUGCCAGCGUGUGCUGGGCAGGGCAGCUCCAGCCUGCGUCUGCGUUGUGGUGUAGUUCGGGAAGCCUGCCUUGCGCCCGUCAGAUGAUCCUGGGGUCUCGUUGCGUUCCAGGGGCACGAAAGGCCUCUGGGGUGUCAUCCCGGCAUCUGGAACGCCGGUGCCGAUUGGGCGCCGGUUUUCUGGUGUCGGCAGCCAAAAGCGAGGCGGGUUCUUGCCUUUCGGCCGCUUCUGUUCAGGGGUGUUUGUGGCGUUGUCCUGGGCUGUGCCGGCAGCCGGGCUCUCUACCCAUCCAGUCUCAGGGACUGGAGCUUCAAGAUGCUGGGAAGAAGUUCUUAGGUGUUCCAGCAGCUUCUCCUUUGGUUGCGCCGUUUCUGCUCGGUUGCGGCGGUGCCGCCGUCUCGUCAGGAGCCAUGACGUCGGGCUCCUUUUCCGUUUCGGGUUGCAGGAGAGGCUCCUCGCCUCACCGCUGCCUCCCCGUAGCUUAUUGGUUUCGAUGCCCGUCUGGUCUCGGAGUGUCGUGUUCGUGGUGGAGCGUUUUUGGUGCUGUGGCAGUGGCGUGGUCUAUAAGGUUCUGCGGAGCGUCUGUCCGCCCGGGUGCGCGUUUGGCUCGGAGCUGCUCUGCCCGGACGCGUAGAGGCAGGGGAGGGCGGACGGAGCUCUGGCGGUCCCCGGUUAACCUGCUGACGCGUUAAAUUGCGUGGGCAGAGGCGGUGCGGUCAUCUGGGAUUGAGUGGCCAUGGGCAGGGGAGCGGAGGGUGCCCGCGCAGGCGUUUGAGAGCCUCCACGAGGGCGUGGAACGUUAUUGUGCCACAGAAAGCAGACCUGUAGGCUGGUCAAGCUGUUGAUGGGCUGCUGGGUGACUCGCUGAAUAACCUGAUUUCAGGAGCAGAGGGACAACUUGGCACGGAAGAGCGACGGAGGAGGCGAGCUGUGCGCCGUAAGCAGGCGCGAAGCGAAGAGGAAAGCGGGCUGUCGGCAGCUCAGCUCCUCGGGCCAGGCGGCAGCUGAGCGUCUCGGCGGUCCGCGGCGUGGCAGUCAAAAGCAAGGGCGGCCGGGUGGGCGAGCGGCCCAGGCGCUUUGUGGGCCCUCUGGACCGGGAGGAGCAUUUGCGGCGUCACCAGCGCUGAGGGUUUGUGACCGCGCCAGCGGCAGGACACGCCGACCGGACCGCCCUGGAACUCAGCAGGAGGCGCUGAAGCGGAACCCGGCGACGCGGGAAGACGGCCGUUGGCGCACGUGGCGUUUUCCUCUGCCGAAGAUGGGUUCGGUCCCUCGGCCCUCUGAAAGCUAAGUGGAGGCGCGAGGGCUGUGAAGGGGCCGGGAAUGGCAGGGACGGGGGGUUUAGCUCUGCUAAGGGCAAGGGCCGUCCAGGAACCGCGCCCUUGGCGCGGGUGAAGGGCCCGUGGACCUUUACCGUGCGAUGCCAGCGUGUGCCGGGCAGGGCAGCUCCAGCCUGCGUCUGCGUUGUGGUGUAGUUCGGGAAGCCUGCCUUGCGCCCGUCAGCCGAUCCUGGGGUCUCGUUGCCUUCCAGGGGCACGAAAGGCCUCUCGGGUGCCAUCCCGGCAUCUGGAACGCCGGUGCCGAUCGGCGUAGCGCCGAUUGGGCGCCGGUUUUCUGGUGUCGGCAGCCGAAAGCGUGGCGGGUUCUUGCCUUUCGGCUGCUUCUGUUCACGGGUGUUUGUGGCGUUGUCCUGGGCUGUGCCGGCAGCCGUGCUCUCUACCCAUCCAGUCUAAGGGACUGGCACUUCUUCCCAGCAUCUUGAAGGUUUUAGGUCUCGUAGCAGCUUCUCGUAUUUGCGCCGUCUCUGCGUGUUUGCGCCAGAGCUGCCGUCUCAUAAGGGGCCGUGACGUUCGGCUCUUUUUUUUUUCUGGGGUUGCAGUAGAGGCUCCUCGCCUCACCACUGCCUCCCCGCAGGUUAUUUUUACUGUUGCCGUCUCUGGUUCGGAGUCAUUUCUGUUGUGGAGCAUUUUUGGUGUUAUUGCUGUCGGGUCGUCUAUAAUGUUGUGUGGAGCAUCUGUCUAAGCACGUGCGCGUUUGGCUCGGAGCUGCUCUGCCCGGAGGUGUAGAGUCAGGAGCGGGCGGACUGAGUUUAGGAGUCCACGAUUGAUCUGUGGACAUGUUAUCCUGCGCAGGCAGAGGUUCUGCGGUCAUCUGGGACGGAGUAGCCGUGGGCAGGGGAGCGGACAGUCCCUUCCCCAGUGGUCUUUGGGACUCAAUUAGACCUUGUUGUGGGAUUCCUGAAUAGAAAGCAGACCUGUGGAACGGUCAAGCUGUUGAUGAGCUCCUGGGUAACUUGUUGAAUACCUUGAUUUCAGAUGCAGAGGGACAACUUGGCACGAAACAGCGACGGAGGAGGCGAGCCGAGCGCCGG